UACGAAGGGGGCUAGCGUUGCUCGGAACCACUGGGCGUAAAGCGCACGUAGGCGGAUUGCUAAGUCAGGGGUGAAAUCCUGGAGCUCAACUCCAGAACUGCCUUUGAUACUGGCGAUCUCGAGUCCGGGAGAGGUGAGUGGAACUGCGAGUGUAGAGGUGAAAUUCGUAGAUAUUCGCAAGAACACCAGUGGCGAAGGCGGCUCACUGGCCCGGUACUGACGCUGAGGUGCGAAAGCGUGGGGAGCAAACAGG
rnacentral:rRNA from 1 species